rnacentral:rRNA from 1 species
GAUAACCGCUGAAAGCAUCUAAGCGGGAAGCGAGCCCUGAGAUGAGUCUUCCCUGGCACAUUAAGUGCCCUUAAGGGUUGUUCAAGACUAGAACGUUGAUAGGCAGGGUGUGUAAGUGCUGCGAGGCAUUGAGCUAACCUGUACUAAUUGCCCGUGAGGCUUAACCAUACAACACCCAAAGGGUUUUG